AACCAACCGGGAUUGCCUUAGUAACGGCGAGUGAAGCGGCAAAAAGCUCAAAUUUGAAAUCUGGUACCUUCGGUGCCCGAGUUGUAAUUUGGAGAGGGCAACUUUGGGGCCGUUCCUUGUCUAUGUUCCUUGGAACAGGACGUCAUAGAGGGUGAGAAUCCCGUGUGGCGAGGAGUGCGGUUCUUUGUAAAGUGCCUUCGAAGAGUCGAGUUGUUUGGGAAUGCAGCUCUAAGUGGGUGGUAAAUUCCAUCUAAAGCUAAAUAUUGGCGAGAGACCGAUAGCGAACAAGUACAGUGAUGGAAAGAUGAAAAGAACUUUGAAAAGAGAGUGAAAAAGUACGUGAAAUUGUUGAAAGGGAAGGGCAUUUGAUCAGACAUGGUGUUUUGUGCCCUCUGCUCCUUGUGGGUAGGGGAAUCUCGCAUUUCACUGGGCCAGCAUCAGUUUUGGUGGCAGGAUAAAUCCAUAGGAAUGUAGCUUGCCUCGGUAAGUAUUAUAGCCUGUGGGAAUACUGCC
rnacentral:rRNA from 1 species